AGGAUAUGGAAGUAUCAGAGGAGCUGCUUUAGGACCCCAAAUAGGGUAUGCAAAUGGAGCAACUCCCAAUGGGUUUGGAUCCAACCGUGAAGGUUAUGGAGCUUUGAAAGGAUUUGGUCCUCAAAUGAAUGGCCGUGGAGUUGGACGUGUUGCUGCGCUGGGGGGUUACCAACACCAACCUGAG